UGGGCGUAAGCGCGCGCAGGCGGUUUCUUAAGUCUGAUGUGAAAGCCCACGGCUCAACCGUGGAGGGUCAUUGGAAACUGGGGAACUUGAGUGCACAAGAGAAAAGCGGAAUUCCACGUGUAGCGGUGAAAUGCGUAGAGAUGUGGAGGAACACCAGUGGCGAAGGCGGCUUUUUGGUCUGUAACUGACGCUGAGGCGCGAAAGCGUGGGGAGCAAACAGGAUUAGAUACCCUGGUAGUCCACGCCGUAAACGAUGAGUGCUAAGUGUUAGAGGGUUUCCGCCCUUUAGUGCUGCAGCUAACGCAUUAAGCACUCCGCCUGGGGAGUACGGUCGCAAGACUGAAACUCAAAGGAAUUGACGGGGGCCCGCACAAGCGGUGGAGCAUGUGGUUUAAUU
rnacentral:rRNA from 2 species